CUGAUGAUGGUAAGGUAAUUAUACGAGUGCAGAUGUGAAGGGUGAGACAUUCGACGCAUGGAAAAGAGAUGGUCAAAGUGCUGAGGAUGGUCCUCAAUUUGAGAUGUGAAGGGUGAGACAUUCGACGCAUGGAAAAGAGAUGGUCAAAGUGCUGAGGACGGUGCUCAAUAUGGCAUGGAGAAAUGGCAAAGGGAUCCCCAUCACUAUCUUGGUCCUAAUGUUCCACCCCAUCAUUUUGAUGCAUGGCAUGGGCCUCCUAUGAAUGCUCCUGCAGGAUUC
rnacentral:lncRNA from 1 species